rnacentral:rRNA from 1 species
GGGGAAUAUUGGGCAAUGGGCGCAAGCCUGACCCAGCAACGCCGCGUGAAGGAAGAAGGCUCUCGGGUUGUAAACUUCUUUUAUUCGGGACGAAAAAAAUGACGGUACCGAAUGAAUAAGCCACGGCUAACUACGUGCCAGCAGCCGCGGUAAUACGUAGGUGGCAAGCGUUAUCCGGAUUUACUGGGUGUAAAGGGCGUGUAGGCGGGACUACAAGUCAGAUGUGAAAUUCCAGGGCUCAACCCUGGAACUGCAUUUGAAACUGUAGUUCUUGAGUGAUGGAGAGGCAGGCGGAAUUCCGAGUGUAGCGGUGAAAUGCGUAGAUAUUCGGAGGAACACCAGUGGCGAAGGCGGCCUGCUGGACAUUAACUGACGCUGAGGCGCGAAAGCGUGGGGAGCAAACA